GUCUACGGCCAUGCCACCCUGAACCAGUCUGAUCUCGGAAGCUAAGCAGGGUUGGGCCUGCUUUGUGCUUGGAUGGGAGGCCACCUAGGAAGACCAGGUGCUGUAAGUG
rnacentral:rRNA from 1 species